CACAGGAGGGCGCCGGAUCAUACAGCUGCCCUGAAGAGGGGACAAGCCUGCUCAUGUGCAGUAAGUUGUUUACAUUCAGACGGGGCUGGCUGUUGGCGCCAUCUUUGUUUUGCCGCACCACUCCCUACAACUCAGUAGCAUGAUCUGCUCCUAGAAGUAAUGAAGCGUUCUUCAGCAAUUCUGUCUCCGUAUAAAUUCAUGGACAUUUGAAGAGCUGACCCAAAGCCAAAACAGGGGAACAUUUCACAUCUUAAGGACCCAUGGAAGUAUCCUAAGAACAAAGGCACAGUUGCUUCUUUUGUAUCCAUGGUAGUAAGAAAGCCAAGUUCCCAAAGCACAGCACAAUGCUUCUCGUGUUGAAGAGGCUGUCGCUUGAUUCUACUUAAGAGUGCCAGUCUGUAUUUCAGCAAUCUGGAAAGCUUUGAAAGCCUGGAUCUCCCUGGAUCUCCCUCGCAAAACUAACCAACUUUUGUAGCAGAAUGGACUACUCUAAGGAAGUGUCUUCCGAAGUAGAUGUACUUUCCUAACAACUGCCUAUGAAAAGCUACAUCAAUGGCCUUUGAGCGCUGGGCAUGGAGGAAGCACUGUGUUAUAAGCUGACUUGUGGGGGUGACAGUCCCAAAUAGGCAACUAUGUCUUCAUGGACCUUUUGGUGGUGUAUGCAUUUAUCAGCUUUUUAGCUUCCACUUGGUUAUCUUUAUGUGAUACGUCCUGUGGUUUUAUUUCCAUAUCAACUCGUCCAUUUCAGAAAAUAGCUUCCUUACUUCAGCCAUUUUUUCUCUCAGUCUUUCCAAAUAUAAACUCAGAUGCUUUCCCACAAUGGCUAAAGUUGUUUACUGUUAUAUUUUUAUAUUCAGAGAGGUAAUAAUAAUUGAUUCUUAAAAUGUAUUCAUUGUUACAGAGAUAAACCGAAUAAAAUGUUCAAUUAAUGGUA